GACGAACGCUGGCGGCGUGCUUAACACAUGCAAGUCGAACGGAAAGGCCCUGCUUUUGUGGCGUGCUCGAGUGGCGAACGGGUGAGUAACACGUGAGUAACCUUCCCUUUACUUUGGGAUAACUUCAGGUAACUGGGGCUAAUACCGGAUAGUAGCUCCUGCUGCAUGGUGGGGGUUGGAAAGUUUCGGCGGUUGGGGAUGGACGCGCGGCUUAUCAGCUUGUUGGUGGGGUAGUGGCUUACCAAGGCUUUGACGGGUAGCCGGCCUGAGAGGGUGACCGGCCACAUUGGGACUGAGAUACGGCCCAGACUCCUACGGGAGGCAGCAGUGGGGAAUAUUGCACAAUGGGCGGAAGCCUGAUGCAGCAACGCCGCGUGCGGGAUGACGGCCUUCGGGUUGUAAACCGCUUGCGCCUGUGACGAAGCGUGAGUGACGGUAAUGGGUAAAGAAGCACCGGCUAACUACGUG
rnacentral:rRNA from 1 species